rnacentral:rRNA from 1 species
UACGUAGGGUGCGAGCGUUAAUCGGAAUUACUGGGCGUAAAGUGUGCGCAGGCGGCCGCGCAAGUCGAGUGUGAAAUCCCCGAGCUUAACUUGGGAAUUGCGCUCGAAACUACGUGGCUGGAGUGUGGCAGAGGAAGGUGGAAUUCCACGUGUAGCGGUGAAAUGCGUAGAUAUGUGGAGGAACACCGAUGGCGAAGGCAGCCUUCUGGGCCAACACUGACGCUCAUGCACGGAAAGCGUGGGGAGCAAACAGG